rnacentral:rRNA from 1 species
UGCGUAGGCGGCCGGGUAAGUCUGACGUGAAAUCUCCAAGCUCAACUUGGAAACGGCGGCGGAUACUACCCGGCUUGAGGAAUGGAGGGGAGACUGGAAUGCUCGGUGUAGCAGUGAAAUGCGUAGAUAUCGAGCGGAACACCAGUGGCGAAGGCGAGUCUCUGGACAUUUCCUGACGCUGAGGCACGAAAGCCAGGGAGGCAAACG